rnacentral:rRNA from 1 species
UACGAAGGGGGCUAGCGUUGCUCGGAAUCACUGGGCGUAAAGCGCACGUAGGCGGCUUCUUAAGUCGGGGGUGAAAUCCUGGAGCUCAACUCCAGAACUGCCUUCGAUACUGAGGAGCUUGAGUCCGGGAGGGGUGAGUGGAACUGCGAGUGUAGAGGUGAAAUUCGUAGAUAUUCGCAAGAACACCAGUGGCGAAGGCGGCUCACUGGCCCGGUACUGACGCUGAGGUGGCGAAAGCGUGGGGAGCAAACAGG